rnacentral:rRNA from 1 species
GAUGAACGCUAGCGGCAGGCUUAAUACAUGCAAGUCGAGGGGCAGCACAGAUAGCAAUAUUGGGUGGCGACCGGCAAACGGGUGCGGAACACGUACACAACCUUCCUUUUGGUGGGGGAUAGCCUUUGGAAACGGAGAUUAAUACCCCAUAAGAUAUUGUGACCGCAUGGUUAUGAUAUUAAAGAUUUAUUGCCAGAAGAUGGGUGUGCGUAUGAUUAGGUAGUUGGUGAGGUAAAGGCUCACCAAGCCGACGAUCAUUAACUGGUGUGAGAGCACGACCAGUCACACGGGCACUGAGACACGGGCCCGACUCCUACGGGAGGCAGCAGUAAGGAAUAUUGGUCAAUGGACGGAAGUCUGAACCAGCCAUGCCGCGUGGAGGAUGAAGGUCCUCUGGAUUGUAAACUUCUUUUAUAUGGGGCGAAAAAGGGCCAUUCUUGGUCAACUGACGGUACCAUAUGAAUAAGCACCGGCUAACUCCGUGCCAGCAGCCGCCGCAGUAA